rnacentral:lncRNA from 1 species
GUCCUUCCUCCCACACAAGGAAACCCAUGAAAGGCCAGACAGAAUGGUGCCAGAUAAGGCCAUGGAAUUUGGAAUUUGGUGGGAUCUAGAAUUUCCCUUAUGGGGAAGGCUGGUCCCAGCUGUCCACCCAUGGUGAGUAUCCAAAGGGAGGCUGUGCCAGGCUCCAGGGAUGUGGGGGGAGGCCCACAUACCCAGGGCCGGAGGCCUGAUGAGGUGGGGAGGGCAGAGAGAAGGUGGCUGGUUGUCUUUGGAAUGUCCCUCCCCAGAGAGGCAGGCUAGGUCCACAGGUCACUUGGUGGACAGGACAUUGAAAGCAAUUUUGACCUUGGCCACUGGCCUGCUCUGCUCAGUCUGAUGUCCACGUUUGUGGUAUAGCCAGGAGGGCUAGAGGCUAGGGACUGCCUGUCUUCAACCUGCUUGGCCUUGGCUUCUCUGUGUGUUCAGGGGUCAGCAGCUUCCCUCGCUGAGCCAUGGAGUGGAGAUUCAUUAAUAUGGAACAUGAUAUUAAUAUGGCAUGUUAUUAAUAUUAGCGAAUUCAUUUGGAACCACUCUUGCAUUCCUGCAAUAAAUCAGAUCUGGUCAUGAUGUUAAAAAGAGAGAAUGGAAUUGGAUGCUGCUGAUCAGAGCUACCAUCACUAAAUACUUUCUCCAUCCUCUCCAAGUAUUAUCUGAUUCCAUCCUUAAGGCAGCUCUGGGAAGCAGGCUUCAUGAUUCCCACUUCACUGAUGAGGAAACCGGGACUAACAAGAGUGAAGUUGCCUGGCAAACAUCAUGCAGCCAGCAAAUGAAGGAGACAGGAUGGGAUCUUGGGUCUCAGUGAUUCCAAAGACCCUAAUGAUACAUGGGUGGUGUUAUCUGGCUGUUAUUCAGUUAUUAAAAAUGCUUAUGGGCUGGGCGAGGUGGCUCAUGCCCGUAAUCCCAGCACUUUGGGAGGCCGAGGCAAGCGGAUCACUUGAGGUCAGGAGUUUGAGACCAGCCUGGCCAACUUGGUGAAACCCCAUCUCUACUAAAAAUACAAAAAUUAGCCGAGUGUGGUGGCGGGCGCCUGUAAUCCCAGCUACUUGAGAGGCUGAGGCAUGAGAAUCACUUGAACCUGGGAGGCAGAGAUUGCAGUGAGCCGAGAUGGUGCCACUGCACUCCAGCCUGGGUGAUAGAGCAAGACUCAGUCUCAAAAAUAAAAAAUAAAAUAAAUAAAAAUAAAUAAAAACGCUUAUGAUCUGAUAAGAUUUUGGAAAGAUAAUAUCUCUGUAGGAACUAGGGGGUGGGGAGGAGGAGACUCUAUUUGUCCUAGAAGCUUGAGUGGUCCUCCUCAACCCACCACAGGCUCAGCAGAGGAGCCGUGUGAGG